CGUUCCCGGGCCUUGUACACACCGCCCGUCACACCCCGAAAGUGGGCAACAGCUGAAGCCGGUGGCCUAACCGUAAGGAGGGAGCCGUCGAGGCUGGGGUUCGUGAUUGGGGUG
rnacentral:rRNA from 1 species